CCCUUAGAUGUUCUGGGCCGCACGCGCGCUACACUGAUGCAUUCAACGAGUCUAAAACCUGCUCUGAUAGGGGUGGGUAAUCUUUUGAAUGUGCAUCGUGAUUGGGAUAGAUGAUUGCAAUUUUUCAUCUUCAACGAGGAAUACCUAGUAAACGCAAGUCAUCAACUUGCAUUGAUUACGUCCCUGCCCUUUGUACACACCGCCCGUCGCUCCUACCGAUGGAACGAUCCGGUGAAAACUCUGGAUUGGAGGGUUUGGUUGUUGCUUUGCAACACUACCCUUCGAGAAAUUGUUUGAAUCUUAUCGUUUAGAGGAAGGAGAAGUCGUAACA
rnacentral:rRNA from 1 species